UAAAAAGAGGUGAUAUGGGUGGGGCCCAAUCCAUUAUGACUGAUGUCUUUAUAAGAAGAGGUAAUUAGGACACAAAACAGAGGAAGACCAUAUGAAGCCUCUGAGAGAAGUGAGCUACCUACAAGCCAAUGAGAGAGACCCACAGAGAAACUCAACUGUGAUGACACCUUGAUGUUGGCCUUCUAGCCUUCAGAAUGGUGAGCAACUUCUUUAGGCCAGAAGUCCAGGCACAGCUCAACAUAGCCCUCGCCUCAGGAUUUCACCAGGCUGCAGUCAAGGUGUUGGCUGGUUGACAUUCUCAUCUGGAGGCUCACUGGGCAAGAUUCUGCUUUCAGUCUUACUCAGAGAUCAUAAUGCAUUAGUAGAAUAGUACAUAUGUAAUUUAUAAAAAUAUAUAAAUAAAUGUAACUGUUUGCUAAAUUGGAUGUGAGAUCUUCAUUUUCCCUGAGAGAUGAUUCAUAUGAUCUAAAUAUUUGGAAACUUUUCUUCUGAAUAACCUUGAGGCUACUAAAGUAUUUAACAUUACCUACAAAACUUACAUUAUGUUUCUACUGGACAGGUACCAUGGUAGACAAUGGAUACUACCAGGUUCUCUUCUCUGUCAAUUCAAAUCUCCCUAGCCUGUGUCUGAAAUUCCACUGGGUUUAGAAUAGUGAGAGGGAAGAAGGAAACCAGGGAUAAUAGAGAAGGCUUAAAGUGCUAAUGUCUGACUGAAGUAAAUGUUGUAAUGUGAAUAUUUAAGAAGA